rnacentral:rRNA from 1 species
UAGGGAAUCUUCGGCAAUGGGGGCAACCCUGACCGAGCAACGCCGCGUGAGUGAAGAAGGUUUUCGGAUCGUAAAGCUCUGUUGUAAGAGAAGAACGUGUGUGAGAGUGGAAAGUUCACACAGUGACGGUAACUUACCAGAAAGGGACGGCUAACUACGUGCCAGCAGCCGCGGUAAUACGUAGGUCCCGAGCGUUGUCCGGAUUUAUUGGGCGUAAAGCGAGCGCAGGCGGUUUAAUAAGUCUGAAGUUAAAGGCAGUGGCUUAACCAUUGUUCGCUUUGGAAACUGUUAAACUUGAGUGCAGAAGGGGAGAGUGGAAUUCCAUGUGUAGCGGUGAAAAGCGUAGAUAUAUGGAGGAACACCGGUGGCGAAAGCGGCUCUCUGGUCUGUAACUGACGCUGAGGCUCGAAAGCGUGGGGAGCAAACAGG